GCCAGCAUGGUGUAGUGGUUUGAGUGUUGGACUAGGACUCUGAAGACCAGGGUUUGAUUCCUGGCUUGGCC